rnacentral:rRNA from 1 species
ACUCCUACGGGAGGCAGCAGUGGGGAAUAUUGCACAAUGGGCGCAAGCCUGAUGCAGCCAUGCCGCGUGUGUGAAGAAGGCCUUCGGUUGUAAAGCACUUUCAGUCGUGAGGAAGGUGGUAGUGUUAAUAGCACUAUCAUUUGACGUUACCUACAGAAGAAGCACCGGCUAACUCCGUGCCAGCAGCCGCGGUAAUACGGAGGGGUGCGAGCGUUAAUCGGAAUUACUGGGCGUAAAGCGCAUGCAGGCGGCCUGUUAAGUCAGAUGUGAAAGCCCGGGGCUUAACCUCGGAAUUGCAUUUGAAACUGGCAGGCUAGAGUCUUGUAGAGGGGGUAGAAUUUCAGGUGUAGCGGUGAAAUGCGUAGAGAUCUGAAGGAAUACCAGUGGCGAAGGCGGCCCCUGGACAAAGACUGACGCUCAGAUGCGAAAGCGUGGGGAGCAAACAGGAUUAGAUACCCUGGUAGACUGUCA